rnacentral:rRNA from 1 species
AGUCACUGACAUUAGAUACCCGCGUAGUCCAGGGUGUAAACGCUGCAGACUUGGUGUUGGGGGGCCCUUUGGGGGCAUCUACGAGAUGGCCCUGUGCUGUAGGGUAGCCGUUAAACUCGCUGCCUGGGAGUACGGCCGCAAGGCUGAAACUUAAAGGAAUUGGCGGGGAGCACCACAAGAGGUGGAGGCUGCGGUUCAAUUGGACUCAACGCCGGAAAACUCAUCGGGAGCGACAGCAGUAUGAUUGCCAGGUUGAUGACCUUGCUUGACAAGCUG